AUUGAACGCUGGCGGCAGGCCUAACACAUGCAAGUCGAGCGGAUGAAGGGAGCUUGCUCCUGGAUUCAGCGGCGGACGGGUGAGUAAUGCCUAGGAAUCUGCCUGGUAGUGGGGGCUAACGUCCGGAAACGGGCGCUAAUCUCGCAUACGUUCUGAGGGAGAAAGUGGGGGAUCUUCGGACCUCACGCUAUCAGAUGAGCCUAGGUCGGAUUAGCUAGUUGGUGGGGUAAAGGCCUACCAAGGCGACGAUCCGUAACUGGUCUGAGAGGAUGAUCAGUCACACUGGAACUGAGACACGGUCCAGACUCCUACGGGAGGCAGCAGUGGGGAAUAUUGGACAAUGGGCGAAAGCCUGAUCCAGCCAUGCCGCGUGUGUGAAGAAGGUCUUCGGAUUGUAAAGCACUUUAAGUUGGGAGGAAGGGCAGUAAGUUAAUACCCUGCUGUUUUGACGUUACCAACAGAAAAAGCACCGGCUAACUUCGUG
rnacentral:rRNA from 1 species